AACGCUGGAGAAGCAGUGACUAAAGCUCAAGAAGUGGUGAAAACAAUGCUUGCCACAGGAUUCGUGCUAGGCAAAGACGCUUUAAGCAAAGCUAAAACCGUUGACGAAUCCCACGGUGUAUCAGCUGCGGUGAUGGCUAGAGUUUCCCAAUUAGAGCAGAGGAUUGGUCUCACUGACAAAUCUUUACCGGACUUGAAGCUGUAAGAAUGACCGAGCAAAGGUAAUGUGUAGAGAACAUAAUUUGUAUUCGAUUUGGUGUGUCACAUUCUGUUUUCAAGGAACUGAGUGUUAUCUAUUUAGUGGUCACCUUUCAUUGAAAAAAGAGUUGGAUAGUAACGCAAGUGUGUUUCCAUAGACAUUUAACUAUGUUUUUAAGUUUUAUGUCUUUUUUUUGCUCUAGAUUGUUUUGGGAGGCGGUUAGGACCACAUCUUCGUUACUCGGUUUAUCCUUUUCCUUCUCCAAGUAUGUUCUGAAGCUGGAUCGGAGUUCCUGAGGAUCACCAAAUCUGUGGUCAACAAGUGAGAAGAGUGGAUUCAUCAACCUCGUGUCACGUUACCUCAGGUUCGUCCUUCAAUCGCCUACUUCCGUAUUUUGUAUCUUCGUAUGCUGUCUUCAAUGACUUUAUGAUUUAAUAUAUGUUAAGAAAUACUAUAUAAAACCUACUUUGAUAUGAUUAGUUUGCUUUUCUUUGCAGGACUAGAUAAGUCCGUGAGUUAAAAAAUUUAACUUAAAAUGUUUCUUUUCUGAUAUAAAACUAUUCCAUGCAUGAGCUUUUAGGUAAUUUUUUAUUGUUCUUGUUUCAUGCAGGCUAAGCAUAGGUUAAUUCCUUAUGUUCGGAUGUUAGUGCCGCCAAGGAGAUGGAAAGGAUAUGCUUUCAAACUUCUUUCUUCUUUGGUUCUUAAUACUUACGAUUCAUAUUAUUUAAUUGAGAACCUCAUGCUCACACAUUGUUUUAUAUAGACAUGUGUUUGUAGCACUUAUGUGUACAAGUACUGCCACAUUUUCUUCAUAUAUGACAAGUGUGGUUACUUCUUUUUACUUACUA